rnacentral:rRNA from 1 species
UACGUAGGGUGCGAGCGUUGUCCGGAAUUAUUGGGCGUAAAGAGCUCGUAGGCGGUUCGUUGCGUCGGCCGUGAAAACCUGCAGCUUAACUGUGGGCCUGCGGCCGAUACGGGCAGACUUGAGUUCGGUAGGGGAGACUGGAAUUCCUGGUGUAGCGGUGAAAUGCGCAGAUAUCAGGAGGAACACCGGUGGCGAAGGCGGGUCUCUGGGCCGAUACUGACGCUGAGGAGCGAAAGCGUGGGGAGCGAACAGG